AUUGAACGCUGGCGGCAGGCCUAACACAUGCAAGUCGAGCGGAUGAAGGGGGCUUGCUCCUGGAUUCCGCGGCGGACGGGUGAGUAAUGCCUAGGAAUCUGCCUGGUAGUGGGGGAUAACGUCCGGAAGCGGGCGCUAAUACCGCAUACGUCCUGAGGGUGAAGGAGGGGGAUCGUCGGACAGCACGCGAUCAGGUGAGCCUAGGUCGGAUUAGUUAGUUGGUGGGGUAAGGGCCGACCAAGGAGACGAUCGGUAGCUGGCCUGAUAGGAUGAUCAGCCACCCUGGAAGUGAGACACGGUCCAGGCUCCUACGGGAGGCAGCAGUGGGGAAUAUUGGACAACGGGCGGAAGCAUUGUCCAGUCAGGCCGCGUCUGUGAAGACGGUCUUCCGAUCGUAAAGCACGUUAAGUUGUGAGGAAGCGCAGUAAGUUAUUACCUUGCUGUUUUGACGUUACCAACUGAAUAAGCACCGGCUAACUUCGUG
rnacentral:rRNA from 1 species